GACUUGUUAGCUCAGUCGGUAGAGCAACUGACUUUUAAUCAGUGGGUCGUAGGUUCGAUUCCUACACAGGUCA
rnacentral:tRNA from 1 species